UGUGAGCGCACCAGAAGCAUAUGUGUUAAUGGAGUUCUGCUAUCAACAUCACAGCACAACUGGAAAUGACUGUCAGGUUACAGGGAAGGCCAAUUCUUCCUUGACCACACUGAAGGACCCGCAAAAGGACCACUGAGCCACAGUUUUGAUGAUGCAGUAUGAUUUGUGGAUACUUUUGUUCGAUGGAUUUCCUAGCCUGGGACGUCAAAAGCUGUCCUAAGAAGAAAGUUACCUGACUCUUACAAGUUAAUGUUCAUCCACUAGUGGAGAUUUGUAAACCUCAAGAUGAGAGCAUCUAUACCAAAGAGUGAUGAUCGCUCUGAGCUCCAUCUCUUGCCCUUCCAAAAUCUGCCUUAUCUUUUAUGUGGAC